AAGUUGCGGGAGGUGCGUCCGCAGCGGGCGCCGCUAGCCAGCGGAAGAUGGCGGAGGGCGGCGGCCCUGACCCCAGCGAGAAAGAAAGGAGGUCUUCCGGACCGCGGCCUCCGAGCGCGCGGGAUUUGCAGUUGGCCUUGGCAGAAUUGUAUGAAGAUGAAGUGAAGUGCAAAUCUUCCAAGUCUAACAGACCUAAAGCUGCAGUCUUCAAGAGCCCACGGACACCACCUCAACGGUUUUACUCAAGUGAACAUGAAUACAGUGGAUUAAAUAUAGUUCGACCUUCAACUGGGAAAAUUGUGAAUGAACUUUUCAGAGAGGCAAGGGAACAUGGGGCUGUCCCUCUGAAUGAAGCCACAAGAGCUUCAGGUGAUGAUAAAUCUAAGUCAUUUACAGGUGGAGGAUACAGAUUGGGUAAUUCCUUUUGUAAGCGGUCUGAAUAUAUCUAUGGAGAAAAUCAGCUGCAAGAUGUUCAGAUUUUGCUUAAACUGUGGAGCAAUGGUUUCAGUUUAGAUGAUGGAGAAUUGAGACCUUACAAUGAACCAACAAAUGCUCAAUUUCUGGAGUCUGUUAAGAGAGGGGUGACUCUCAUUGCAUGUAUGCCUGAAAUUCAGCAACUUAUGUUAGAAAUCUUUUAAUGUGGCAUUACUGCUGGCAGAAGAUUUCAAAAGAGAGAUUCCUCUGGAGCUUCAGCGCCUUGUUCAUGGUGGCCAAGUGAAUUUGGAUAUGGAGGAUCAUCAAGAUCAAGAAUACAUAAAACCUAGAUUGAGGUUCAAGGCUUUUAGUGGAGAAGGGCAAAAACUUGGAAGUCUUACACCUGAAAUAGUCAGUACACCUUCCUCUCCAGAAGAGGAGGAUAAAUCAAUACUUAAUGCAGUUGUUCUUAUUGAUGAUUCAGUGCCAACAACAAAAAUUCAAAUCAGGUUAGCAGAUGGGAGUCGUUUGAUACAAAGAUUCAAUAGUACACACAGGAUCCUGGAUGUCCGGAACUUUAUUGUACAGUCUCGUCCUGAAUUUGCGGCUCUUGACUUUAUUCUUGUGACUUCAUUUCCAAAUAAAGAGCUAACAGAUGAAAGCCUGACACUGCUAGAAGCAGAUAUUCUUAACACUGUGUUACUCCAGCAACUAAAAUAAUAUUGUUCCUGUCCAUGCAGUAGCAUGUGGGAAUAGAUGAUGUGCCAUAUUAAUAAGAACAAUACUUCCAGCACUAAAAACAACCAAAUUAUUUUUAUUAUUUUUACAGAUAGAUUUUGGUUUUAUUGUUAUUCUGUCUUCCAACCUGAAUAUAGACAAAUUUGGAUUAGGAAUAGACCUUGAGAUAAGUAUGUUUGAGUUUUUAGUUGAAAGACUGGCUUUAUGUUGAUAGUUUUUGGAUUUCUAGGCAAAUCAGUUUGUUACAUGCUUAGUGUUAAUGUAACAUUUGUUUGCAGAAAAGAAUGAACAAAACCCCUUUUUGAUAAAUGCGUUUGGUAAAAUUUGCACUAAAGUUUCUUGAUGCAGCAUUGACCAACAGCCAUUAAGAAAUCUUUUGAUCAAAUAACGUUGAAAAUUUGUCUGUAAUAUAUACUGAAACGUGUCUAUUUUGAUUUUGAAAUUGUUUGAUCAUACAAUAAUUAUUUCUCCUAUUAAGAUUUUACACAUCCUUUUUACUUACUGAUUUAGAUAUAUUACUAGUAUCAGAAACUACAGUUUUGCCUUGUAUUUUACAGAAUUAUGACUGUUGCGAACUUAAACAGAAACACAUAAAACGUCAGCAAUUCUUUUUUUUGUUUUGUUUUUUGAGAUGGAGUUUUGCUCUCGUUGCCCAGGCUGGAGUGCAAUGGCAUGAUCUCCGCUCACCACAACCUCCACCUCCCAGGUUUAAAAGAUUCUCCUGCCUCAGCCUCCCGAGUAGCUGGGAUUACAGGCAUGCGCCACCACGCCUGGCUAAUUUUUGUAGCUUUAGUAGAGACGGGAUUUCUCCAUGCUGGUCAGGCUGGUCUCAAACUCCCGACCUCAGGUGAUACACACAUCUCAGCCUCCCAAAGUGCUGGGAUUACAGGCAUGAGCCACCACGCCUAGCCUAAAUGUCAGCAGUUCUUAAGAAGAUAUGGUAAACAGCAACAACAUUUUAAAAUCAAGUAAUUACAGUUCCUCCCAGAGCUUGCCUUGAUCACAUUCAUUUGUUCAUUCAACACAUUUUUCUAGGAAACUCACUAUAUACACUAAACACUAUUCUUAUGUGCUCAACCUAGAAUGUCUUCUCCAGAACAAGACUAGUGUAGAAAUAUAGGAAUGUAAGUUCUGUCGUAUAGACUAGAUCUAAAGAAUUACCAGCAUAAAUGUUUACAUUUCUGCUGAAGCCAGAAGCUUCUCCUUCUUCCCAGACACCAUUUCAUCCUUAGUUAUCACUCCUGGUUAGUUUUUCCAUUGCCACCAUAACAAGUUACAAAAUGUGGCUUAAAAUAGCACAAAUGUAUUAUCUUAACAAUUCUAUAGGUUAGGAGUCCAAAUGGGUUUCGCGGUGCUAAGAUCAAUUUGUUGGCAGGGUUGCAUUCCUUUACGAGGCUCUAUAGGAGAAUCAUUUCCUUGUCGUUCCACCUUCUAGAGGACAUCCGCAUUCCUUGGCUUGUGGCCUCCUUCCAUCUUAAAAACCAGCACUGUUUCAUCUCUAUGACCCUUCUGUUAUCACAUCUCUCUGACACCAGCCUGGAGAGGUUCUCUGCAGGACUAAUGAUUAAAUUAGGCCCACUGGAUAAUCUAGGCUUAUCUCCUCAUCUUGAAAUCCAUAGUAACCUUAAUUAUGUCUGCAAAAUCUCUUUUACCAUCUAAGGUUACAUAUAGGUUUGGAGAUUAGGACAUUAACAUUUUACGUAGAACAUUAUUCUUGCCUACUACAGUUCGCCCCCACCCCCAGCUCCACCCCUGUGUUAAAGAUUCAGAUUCAUCACAAAUAAAUUUACCUCACUCAUAGGUGCUCAAAAGUCACAAACCAUUAUUACAGUAUCAACUCUAAAUCCAAAAUCUUAUCUGAGUCUCACCAACUCAAAAGUCUCAAAUCUCACAUUAAAGCCAUCUAAAUUAAGUUUGAGAGGAUCGGGGUGUGAUUUCUGGGGCAUAAUUCCUCUCCAUCUGUGCACUUGUGAACCUAGAAAACAAGUUAUCUGCUCCCAAGUAUGCUGGCAUGACAGGCAUACAGUAACAGUUAUACACAUUCCUGUUCAAAAAGCAGAAAUUUGGAUGAAAAAAGGAGCCAUGAGCAGCAAUCAAUUUACAAAACCAGCCAGGCAUCCUCCUUUAAGUUUCAAGGUCUGGGAGUAAUCUUCAGCUCACUGCUCAUUUCUCUGGGCUUGUGACUGUCUCAGAGUCAUCUUUUUCACAAAAGGUAGCACACAUUUGCAACUGUGUAUCAGCUUCUCAGUUUCUUUUAUAUUCUCUACAGCUUUCUGUUAAAAAUGGUGGUGCUUCUGCUGCUAUAACAUUGUCAGGAAACUUGUGGGUCUCUUACAUAUGUCAUGGGGAUGCACUCAUUUAGAUAGGAGGCUCCUCACAUAUCUUUCCUAGAAAAUCCUCUCUCUUAUUUUUGGCUUUUUGUGAAAUAGCUGAGAGGAUCUAUGAUUCACACCCUUAAUGUCUUCAAAGAGCCUUUUGUGUGACCUGAUACUCAGACCUUUUGAUGUUUCUGAAGUAUUAGCAAAAGGUUAUACAGCCAUACCUUCAUCACUUUCUCUAGAGAAGGCUGGCCUGACUAAAUCUCUUAGUUUUAGUGGCUUUUGCCAUUUGAACAGGCCACAAAUUUCCCAAAUCAUCAAGUCCUUGUUUCUUUAUAUUUAACAUUCUUCCCUUAAUUUAUCUACCUCCUUCCACAUUUUACUAUAAUCAGCAAGAAGACAGCAGGCUGUACCUUCCACAGCUUGCUUGGAAAUAUCUUCGGCUAAAUAUUGAAGUCAUCACUUAAAAGUUCUGCUUUACACAUAACUGCAGGACACAAUUCAGCUUAGCUUUUUGCUGCUAUGUAAUGAGGACCCCUUUCCUCCAGUUUUCCAAUAACAUAUUCCUCAUUUUCUACCAACAGUCUAUUCAUGAUGAUUUAGAUACUGUAGGGCAAUUGAGGUAUUGUCUAUUAUACUCCUUUCUUCCUUCAAGGCCGCCCUAGCAUUAACAUUCCAUAUUUCUACUAACAGUCUGUUUAAGGCAAUUUAGCUUCUUUCUGGCAUGCUCCUCAGAAUUCUUCCAGCCUCUACCUACUGCCCAAUUCCAGAGCCACUUUUCCAUUUUUAGGUAUUUGUUACAGCAGCACCCCAAGUACCUAAAAAAGUCUUUUAUGCCUAUUUCUCUGCCAUAUGACUUGAAUAUGCUACUAGAUUUGGAAUUCAUCUUUCUCCAGGGUCACUACUUAUUUUAAAGAGGUGAAUUUACCUGUGCUAGGGUUUUGAUACUGGGAGUGCUACCAGAACUACCACAGAAUGAAAGUGGUGAGCCCACCACUGCAGAGAAGUUUUCUCAGAGCCAUAAUUGAGAGGAAUUCUUCUCAAAAUAAGCUCUACUCCUUUUCACUCAUUGAAAACAACUUGCAUAAUGUAACAGCCAGCCCCAUUUUAAAAAGAUUACCAGGGGUAAAACAACUUUUUCAUGGAUCAAAAUCAUCUUCCGAAGAAAAUGAUUUCUUAAAAGAAUUGAACAUUGUAAAUCAAAGGGCAUUGUCCUGUUUUGGAUUAACAAAACAGGAAAAACAACUAAACCUUGUAAAAUUAUUUGAAAUUUUCUUGUUUUUAUCAUUUGAGUGCCUAUAGAUGCACAUACAAAAACAACUGCCAUUUUUGUAUAUAAUAGUCUUCCAAAAUAGAGAUUUACAUUAGGAGAGAAUUAAACAUCCAGGAGGGAUGAACAGUAUUUCAUGUGUGCUAUGUAGUGUUUUGCUUCAUUGAGAGUCAUUUUCAUGAAUUAUUUUUACUACUGCAGUCAUCUUAAAUUUAUAAUCAUCUCAAAAAAGAUGUCACAAUGAACAGACAACCAUGUGUGAAGUCAUUUUGCAUGAUGUAUGUAAUCAGAAAGUGUGAAAUGUCUGCUUACUAAUAAAGAGUGUUUUCACUGAAACUCAU